rnacentral:snoRNA from 1 species
UUGCACUCUUAAGGUUAAUGCAGAAUUCUUUAAGAGGCAAACUCAGAAGGGUAAAGAAAAUCUCAGAGAAGGGCUUGUACUCUCUGAAUCCUGUCUGGAGUUACAACU